rnacentral:misc_RNA from 1 species
CUCAGGACCCCGCGCCCCCCCACCCAGAGCGGGUCGGGGGAGGCCCAGCAGCAGCCCUAUCCCUGCCACACGUCUCGAGGCACCUCUGGUGGUGGCAGGGCCGAGCACCGACGACGUAGGGGGAGGCCCGAGCGCUGCAUCGCCCCUGAUGUCGGCGGCCAGGCCGUGGAUGGCGUGGUGUCGGAGCGGCCUGCGACAGUGCACACGUCUGAGCCAUGCACAUGAUAGGCAGAGCGUCAGCGUGGCUCAAGCGUAUCUCCCACUCCCCGCCCCCUCACUGCCCACUGGUUGGAGGGGCCUGGGUGUCGCCGCCGAGGGGGACGCGCCAGGUGGCGGCCGGCAUAGUGUGAGCGGCGGUGAGGCGACCCGCGGAGCGGGGGUGCUGGGUGGCGUUUGAGGCCGAGGCGGCCCACUCAGAUGGCUGAGUGGGCGCACUGCUGUAGCGCGUGUCUAGGGCUGCGUCGCGCCAGGCGACGGGCCUUUGGCGGGCCGGGUAGAGCUGAGUUGAGGUCGUGCUCUGUGACAGCGACAUGGACCGUUUGAAACGGAAAGGCGCUUGUGCGCUUGUGCACAGCUCGUCGAGGUGCAUCAGCACGCCUCGUAGCAGCGGUUGCACCACUCGCCAGCGACAGGGAGGUGAGAGGGGCGAGAGGAGCGAAGCGCGACUUUGUUUUUUUUCCCUACACGCUCAAUGCUGAGAUGAGAGAGGGGUUGCGGACCCACGGGCUCUGUGCUCGCCUUUCGUGUUGCGUCUGCUCUUGUCUUC